rnacentral:rRNA from 1 species
GACGAACGCUGGCGGCGUGCUUAACACAUGCAAGUCGAGCGGUAAGGCCCUUCGGGGUACGACGAGCGGCGAACGGGUGAGUAACACGUGGGUGACCUGCCUCUAGCUCUGGGAUAAGCCUGGGAAACGUGGGUCUAAUACCGGAUAUGACUCCACGGCGCAUGUUGUGGGGUGGAAAGCCUUGUGUGGCUAGAGAUGGGCCCGCGGCCUAUCAGCUUGUUGGUGGGGUGAUGGCCACCAAGGCGACGACGGGUAGCCGGCCUGAGAGGGCGACCGGCCACACUGGGACUGAGACACGGCCCAGACUCCUACGGGAGGCAGCAGUGGGGAAUCUUGCGCAAUGGGCGAAAGCCUGACGCAGCGACGCCGCGUGAGGGAUGACGGCCUGGUGU